GUGCCAGCCGCCGCGGUAAUACAGAGGUCCCAAGCGUUGUUCGGAUUCACUGGGCGUAAAGGGUGCGCAGGUGGCGCUUCAAGUUUGAUGUGAAAGCUUCGGGCUCAACCCGGAAAUGGCAUUGAAUACUGGAGUGCUGGAGGUUUGGAGGGGGGACUGGAAUUCUCGGUGUAGCAGUGAAAUGCGUAGAUAUCGAGAGGAACACCAGUGGCGAAGGCGAGUCCCUGGACAACACCUGACACUGAGGCACGAAAGCUAGGGGAGCAAACAGGAUUAGAAACCCCGGUAGUCC
rnacentral:rRNA from 1 species